rnacentral:lncRNA from 1 species
AAGAAGUCAAUAUUGAGUAUUCCCAUGAAAAUAAGUGGAGACAAAACACAUCAUAAUAUUCAGACACAUUUCCAUGGAAGGUAAUUGUGCAAAUGAAAGGUAAUCUAAAAGAGCAUUGACUCUAUUUGCUAUAUAUAGAAAAUGAUUCAUUAUCAACCCAUGAACCAAAAAAAAAAAAAAGAUGACAACCCAUUACAAAGUAAAAUUUGUACUUUGAGAAAUGAUGAUAAUGAGUGACUGAGAUAUGUAACCAACAACAUUGGGAAUAGAUAGAUAAUAGAACACAUAAUGAAAGCACUCGGGGGAAAAGCAAAAUCAAUGGCC